AUGUACCGCUCACUGCCGUUCUGAGUGCCCCCUCCACGCCCGACUGACCACUGCGCGCUACCUGUUGUCAGCC
rnacentral:sRNA from 2 species